AGACCCGAAACCCGGUGAUCUAGCCAUGGGCAGGUUGAAGGUUGGGUAACACUAACUGGAGGACCGAACCGACUAAUGUUGAAAAAUUAGCGGAUGACCUGUGGCUGGGGGUGAAAGGCCAAUCAAACCGGGAGAUAGCUGGUUCUCCCCGAAAGCUAUUUAGGUAGCGCCUCGUGAAUUCAUCUCCGGGGGUAGAGCACUGUUUCGGCUAGGGGGCCAUCCCGGCUUACCAACCCGAUGCAAACUGCGAAUACCGGAGAAUGUUAUCACGGGAGACACACGGCGGGUGCUAACGUCCGUCGUGAAGAGGGAAACAACCCAGACCGCCAGCUAAGGUCCCAAAGUCAUGGUUAAGUGGGAAACGAUGUGGGAAGGCCCAGACAGCCAGGAUGUUGGCUUAGAAGCAGCCAUCAUUUAAAGAAAGCGUAAUAGCUCACUGGUCGAGUCGGCCUGCGCGGAAGAUGUAACGGGGCUAAACCAUGCACCGAAGCUGCGGCAGCGAACGUAUCACCCAAGACAACUUUACGGAGUUGACGAUUGACGGAGCGAAGCGACGUCAAAGCGUUCAUUAAAGUCGAGUUGGCUUAGGGAUACGUUCGUUGGGUAGGGGAGCGUUCUGUAAGCCUGUGAAGGUGUGUCGUGAGGCAUGCUGGAGGUAUCAGAAGUGCGAAUGCUGACAUAAGUAACGAUAAAGCGGGUGAAAAGCCCGCUCGCCGGAAGACCAAGGGUUCCUGUCCAACGUUAAUCGGGGCAGGGUGAGUCGACCCCUAAGGCGAGGCCGAAAGGCGUAGUCGAUGGGAAACGGGUUAAUAUUCCCGUACUUGGUGUUACUGCGAAGGGGGGACGGAGAAGGCUAUGUUGGCCGGGCGACGGUUGUCCCGGUUUAAGCGUGUAGGUGUGUGUUCCAGGUAAAUCCGGUUCACUUUAACACUGAGGCGUGACGACGAGGCACUACGGUGCUGAAGCAACAA
rnacentral:rRNA from 4 species